AUUGAACGCUGGCGGAAUGCUUUACACAUGCAAGUCGAACGGCAGCACGGACUUCGGUCUGGUGGCGAGUGGCGAACGGGUGAGUAAUACAUCGGAACGUGCCCAGUCGUGGGGGAUAACGUAGCGAAAGCUACGCUAAUACCGCAUACGAUCUAAGGAUGAAAGCGGGGGAUCGCAAGACCUCGCGCGAUUGGAGCGGCCGAUGGCAGAGUAGGUAGUUGGUAGGGUAAAGGCCUACCAAGCCGACGAUCUCUAGCUGGUCUGAGAGGAUGAUCAGCCACACUGGGACUGAGACACGGCCCAGACUCCUACGGGAGGCAGCAGUGGGGAAUUUUGGACAAUGGGCGCAAGCCUGAUCCAGCCAUUCCGCGUGCAGGAUGAAGGCCUUCGGGUUGUAAACUGCUUUUGUACAGAACGAAAAGGCUCUGGUUAAUACCCGGGGCUCAUGACGGUACUGUAAGAGUAAGCACCGGCUAACUACGUGCCAGCCGCCGCCGUAA
rnacentral:rRNA from 1 species